rnacentral:rRNA from 1 species
GAUGAACGCUGGCGGCGUGCUUAACACAUGCAAGUCGAACGAAGCAUUUUAGCGGAACAUUUUCGGAUGGGAAGUUAAAAUGACUGAGUGGCGGACGGGUGAGUAACGCGUGGAUAACCUACCAUAUACAGGGGGACAACAGUUGGAAACGACUGCUAAUACCGCAUAAGCGCACAGUGCCGCAUGGCACGGUGUGAAAAACUCCGGUGGUAUAUGAUGGAUCCGCGUCUGAUUAGCUAGUUGGUGAGGUAACGGCCCACCAAGGCAACGAUCAGUAGCCGACCUGAGAGGGUGACCGGCCACAUUGGGACUGAGACACGGCCCAAACUCCUACGGGAGGCAGCAGUGGGGAAUAUUGCACAAUGGGCGAAAGCCUGAUGCAGCGACGCCGCGUGAGCGAAGAAGUAAUUUCGGUAUGUAAAGCUCUAUCAGCAGGGAAGAAAUAGACGGUACCUGACUAAGAAGCCCCGGCUAACUACGUGCCAGCAGCCGAC